GACGAACGCUGGCGGCAUGCCUAAUACAUGCAAGUCGAGCGAACAGAUGAAGUGCUUGCACUUCUGACGUUAGCGGCGAACGGGUGAGUAACACGUAAGGAAUCUACCUAUAAGCGGGGGAUAACAUUCGGAAACGGGUGCUAAUACCGCAUACUAUCUUCUUCCGCAUGGAAGAAGAUUGAAAGACGGCUCUGCUGUCAUUUAUAGAUGACCUUGCGGUGCAUUAGUUAGUUGGUGGGGUAAUGGCCUACCAAGACGAUGAUGCAUAGCCGGCCUGAGAGGGUGAUCGGCCACAUUGGGACUGAGACACGGCCCAAACUCCUACGGGAGGCAGCAGUAGGGAAUCUUCCGCAAUGGGCGAAAGCCUGACGGAGCAAUGCCGCGUGAGUGAAGAAGGCCUUCGGGUCGUAAAACUCUGUUAUAAGAGAAGAACAAAUUGUAGAGUAACUGCUACAGUCUUGACGGUAUCUUAUCAGAAAGCCACGGCUAACUACGUGCCAGCCGCCGCGGUAA
rnacentral:rRNA from 1 species